UGUCUGUAGCAAGUGUGAUUUUAUUAUUUAUUUCCCCGCAGCUACAGCAUCGAAGGACAAGGUUAAACCAGCACUGCAGCUGAUUGGUUCCUCAAAAAUAAACAAAGGAUACAACAUCAAUGAGCUGAUCACCACAACCCCUUCCAGACAGCCUUCAGUGAGCAAACCUUCUAGUACAGGAAAAGAUGUACAAGAUCUUGACAAGGUCAGUUAUGUUCCUUCUGCAAACAGAUCAGUCUUAACACCUUGAAGGUCAUUAUUAGAGCUGAGCUUCUUUUUCUCUUCAGAGCACCACCACAGCUUUGGAGAACAGCAAACGUGGCUCAGAGAGAGCAAGCUCGACUCAGAAAUUCCUCAAGGCAUGGGUAUACGUCAUGUGAACUGCAUAUGUUUUAGAUCUUCUUCAAAUGUUCAUAUUAAUGUUGCUCUAUUUUCCUUUCAGCAUAUACCUGUAACCAAAGUUGUUGAAAUGGUGCAAGAAGACAAAGAUGAUGUCAAGGUUACAGAGGAAGAAUAUAUUGGUACAAAAGUGUUUUUCUUGCUUAAACAUUCUUGUUGUACACUUUUGUAUUUAUCCGAGUAAGAUUUUCUCUUUUUAUCUUUCAGAUGAUAUGAUGAAUGUUGUGCCUGACACUCAACCUUUUAUUAAAAAAGACAAGCCUCUAUCAGGCUCAACAGCUGGAAUUCUCAAUGAAAAAACCACCUUCUUCAACAAAGCACAGCUCGACAGAGACAAACUACAAAGACCUACAGAAACAGGUGACCGAGAAGCUAGAGAGGUUACUCAAAGAGAAGAACCAGAGAGCUGGAGACAGAUGUCUGGAAGUGAAUGGCAGUCAGGUGCACAGAGAGCAGCCAGCAGAGAGGGGAGCCAGAGUGAAGGCAGCUCCAGCACAGGAGAAGGAUCACAGCAGUGCAGAAGCAUGUACCAAACCUUCCUUCCCAGCUCCAGCGAAGCAGGCUGAGAAAGCAGCACCUGUGCUGGACAGAAAGCCAAGCACAUUUAGCAAGGACUCCUCAUUCCGAAAACAGGGGAGUUCACAGUCGACGAAGGAAACUGAAAUUUCUGAGAGGAGGACAGAUCAGAGAGUGAGAGUUUUCACGAUAUCAGUUUACAAUCUCUAAAAUUAUAUCAAGGGUGGCAUGGACGUGC
rnacentral:lncRNA from 1 species